rnacentral:ncRNA from 2 species
CUAGACAGUACACCAUCGGUCCAUAUAUGCCCCGUAAUACGGUCGGGGUGUUUCUACCAGGGAGCCGUAAACCUCCUGACUAUGGGCUGAGAAACACAUCAG